AGCGAACGCUGGCGGCAGGCUUAACACAUGCAAGUCGAGCGGGCGUAGCAAUACGUCAGCGGCAGACGGGUGAGUAACGCGUGGGAACAUACCUUUUGGUUCGGAACAACACAGGGAAACGUUGUGCUAAUACCGGAUAAGCCCUUACGGGGAAAGAUUUAUCGCCGAAAGAUUGGCCCGCGUCUGAUUAGCUAGUUGGUGAGGUAACGGCUCACCAAGGCGACGAUCAGUAGCGGUCUGAGAGGAUGAUCAGCCACAUUGGGACUGAGACACGGCCCAAACUCCUACGGGAGGCAGCAGUGGGGAAUAUUGGACAAUGGGCGCAAGCCUGAUCCAGCCAUGCCGCGUGAGUGAUGAAGGCCCUAGGGUUGUAAAGCUCUUUUGUGCGGGAAGAUAAUGACGGUACCGCAAGAAUAAGCCCCGGCUAACUUCGUGCCAGCAGCCGCCGCCGUAAU
rnacentral:rRNA from 1 species